rnacentral:rRNA from 1 species
UACGAAGGGGGCGAGCGUUGUUCGGAUUUACUGGGCGUAAAGGGCGCGCAGGCGGCUAUCCAAGUCAGGCGUGAAAGCCCGGGCUUAACCUGGGAGGUGCGUCUGGGACUGGGUGGCUAGAGUUCGGGAGAGGAGAGUGGAAUUCCCAGUGUAGAGGUGAAAUGCGCAGAUAUUAGGAGGAACGACCGGUGGCGAAGGCGGGUCUCUGGGCCGAUACUGACGCUGAGACGCGAAAGCCAGGGGAGCGAACGGG